UACGUAGGGUGCGAGCGUUAAUCGGAAUUACUGGGCGUAAAGUGUGCGCAGGCGGCCGAGCAAGUCGAGUGUGAAAGCCCCGAGCUUAACUUGGGAACUGCGCUCGAAACUACUUGGCUAGAGUGUGGCAGAGGGAGGUGGAAUUCCACGUGUAGCGGGUGAAAUGCGUAGAGAUGAUGGAGGAACACCGAUGGCGAAGGCAGCCUCCUGGGCCAACACUGACGCUCAGUGCACGAAAGCGUGGGGAGCAAACAGG
rnacentral:rRNA from 1 species